GUGAACGCUGGCGGUAGGCCUAACACAUGCAAGUCGAACGGCAGCACAGAGGAGCUUGCUCCUUGGGUGGCGAGUGGCGGACGGGUGAGGAAUACAUCGGAAUCUACCCUGUCGUGGGGGACAACGUAGGGAAACUUACGCUAAUACCGCAUACGACCUUCGGGAGAAAGAGGGGGCUCGCAAGACCUCUCGCGAUUGGCUGAGCCGAUGUCGGAUUAGCAAGUUGGCGGGGUAAAAGCCCACCAAGGCGACGAUCCGUAGCUGGUCUGAGAGGAUGAUCAGCCACACUGGAACUGAGACACGGUCCAGACUCCUACGGGAGGCAGCAGUGGGGAAUAUUGGACAAUGGGCGCAAGCCUGAUCCAGCCAUACCGCGUGGGUGAAGAAGGCCUUCGGGUUGUAAAGCCCUUUUGUUGGGAAAGAAAAGCGACCGGCUAAUACCCGGUUGUUCUGACGGUACCCAAAGAAUAAGCACCGGCUAACUUCGUGCCAGCAGCCGCAGUAAGAC
rnacentral:rRNA from 1 species